rnacentral:rRNA from 1 species
CCUACGGGGUGCAGCAGUGGGGAAUAUUGGACAAUGGGCGAAAGCCUGAUCCAGCCAUGCCGCGUGUGUGAAGAAGGCCUUCGGGUUGUAAAGCACUUUCAGUGGGGAAGAAAGCCUUGGGGCUAAUACCCUCGAGGAAGGACAUCACCCACAGAAGAAGCACCGGCUAACUCCGUGCCAGCAGCCGCGGUAAUACGGAGGGUGCGAGCGUUAAUCGGAAUUACUGGGCGUAAAGCGCGCGUAGGCGGUCUGAUAAGCCGGUUGUGAAAGCCCCGGGCUCAACCUGGGAACGGCAUCCGGAACUGUCAGGCUAGAGUGCAGGAGAGGAAGGUAGAAUUCCCGGUGUAGCGGUGAAAUGCGUAGAGAUCGGGAGGAAUACCAGUGGCGAAGGCGGCCUUCUGGACUGACACUGACGCUGAGGUGCGAAAGCGUGGGUAGCAAACAGGAUUAGAUACCCCUUAGUC